rnacentral:rRNA from 1 species
CUUCACGCAUGCUACAAUGGCCGGUACAAAGGGCUGCGAUACCGCGAGGUGGAGCGAAUCCCAGAAAGCCGGUCUCAGUUCGGAUUGGGGUCUGCAACUCGACCCCAUGAAGUCGGAGUCGCUAGUAAUCGCAGAUCAGCAACGCUGCGGUGAAUUACCGGUUCCCGGGCCUU